rnacentral:rRNA from 1 species
CCUACGGGAGGCAGCAGUGAGGAAUAUUGGUCAAUGGACGAGAGUCUGAACCAGCCAAGUAGCGUGACGGAUGACUGCCCUACGGGUUGUAAACUUCUUUUAUAUGGGAAUAAAAUGUUCCACGUGUGGGAUUUUGUAUGUACCAUAUGAAUAAGGAUCGGCUAACUCCGUGCCAGCAGCCGCGGUAAUACGGAGGAUCCGAGCGUUAUCCGGAUUUAUUGGGUUUAAAGGGAGCGUAGGUGGAUUGUUAAGUCAGUUGUGAAAGUUUGCGGCUCAACCGUAAAAUUGCAGUUGAAACUGGCAGUCUUGAGUACAGUAGAGGUGGGCGGAAUUCGUGGUGUAGCGGUGAAAUGCUUAGAUAUCACGAAGAACUCCGAUUGCGAAGGCAGUUCACUGGACUGCAACUGACACUGAGGCUCGAAAGUGUGGGUAUCAAACAGGAUUAGAUACCCGGGUAGUC